AGAGUUCGAUCCUGGCUCAGGAUGAACGCUGGCGGCGCGCCUAACACAUGCAAGUCGAACGGCACCCACCUUCGGGUGGAAGCGAGUGGCGAACGGCUGAGUAACACGUGGAGAACCUGCCCCCUCCCCCGGGAUAGCCGCCCGAAAGGACGGGUAAUACCGGAUACCCCGGGGUGCCGCAUGGCACCCCGGCUAAAGCCCCGACGGGAGGGGAUGGCUCCGCGGCCCAUCAGGUAGACGGCGGGGUGACGGCCCACCGUGCCGACAACGGGUAGCCGGGUUGAGAGACCGACCGGCCAGAUUGGGACUGAGACACGGCCCAGACUCCUACGGGAGGCAGCAGUGGGGAAUCUUGCGCAAUGGGGGGAACCCUGACGCAGCGACGCCGCGUGCGGGACGGAGGCCUUCGGGUCGUAAACCGCUUUCAGCAGGGAAGAGUCAAGACUGUACCUGCAGAAGAAGCCCCGGCUAACUACGUGCCAGCAGCCGCGGUAAUACGUAGGGGGCGAGCGUUAUCCGGAUUCAUUGGGCGUAAAGCGCGCGUAGGCGGCCCGGCAGGCCGGGGGUCGAAGCGGGGGGCUCAACCCCCCGAAGCCCCCGGAACCUCCGCGGCUUGGGUCCGGUAGGGGAGGGUGGAACACCCGGUGUAGCGGUGGAAUGCGCAGAUAUCGGGUGGAACACCGGUGGCGAAGGCGGCCCUCUGGGCCGAGACCGACGCUGAGGCGCGAAAGCUGGGGGAGCGAACAGGAUUAGAUACCCUGGUAGUCCCAGCCGUAAACGAUGGACGCUAGGUGUGGGGGGACGAUCCCCCCGUGCCGCAGCCAACGCAUUAAGCGUCCCGCCUGGGGAGUACGGCCGCAAGGCUAAAACUCAAAGGAAUUGACGGGGGCC
rnacentral:rRNA from 1 species